rnacentral:lncRNA from 1 species
GACGUACUGUCUGACUAGACACGUUAAAAAAAUUAUCCAAAAGCUGAUUCAGCCGGUAACGAAUUUCCGAUAUCAUAAAAGAUUCACAAAAGUCGAUUUGAAAAGCUCACUAGAGCUUGUGUUUAUGUAGUUUAUUGAAUUUCGACUCUAAAUAAAACUUUGAAUCUUGACAAUACAAAAGGAACUUCCUCUGCUUAAUUGAGCUCCUAAACAUGGUAAAUAAAUGUGAUUAGUUAACUUUUAAUCAAAAUUGCCG